UUUUCUGUGAUCUGGCGGCAACCAAAUCUGCAUACUGAAUAUUCUUGGUGGUUUCUGACUUCCCAAAAAGAAGGAGCAGGCACCUGAACAAAAUCUGAUAUCCAAGAUGGAAAGAGUUAUCUCCUAAAUGUUGUCCAGUGCUGUGUGAGUUCCAUGAUCUCAUGUCAAAAGCUAUAGGAUCUUGUUGCAAAAUCCAGGAAUCUCAGGAAGCAUGCAUGAUGAGGCAAUAAACUUUUAUUCAGAAGAGGUCCAGAGGGUGGCAACAUGAAAACAAGCCUUUUCUGCAGUGGCUCCCAUUUGUGCAAUGCUCUCUCCAGGGAGAUUCCUCUGAAACCUUCAUUAUACAUCUAGAGGCACCAGGAGAAAACGUUCCUCUUCAACCAGGCUUUGGGCUGAUUAGCAUCCUACAACAGCCUUCUAAAUGAUUAAAAUCCUAUAACAUCCUUCUAAAUGUGUUGAGAGGGGAGGUGUUGGUUUGGUUUGCCCUUGUCUUUAUUAUGUACUCUGUGUUUUUUAUCUUGUAUUUUUAUGUUGUGAACAUAAAAAUGAAUGAAGGGCGAAUGAAGGGCAGUGUACACAUUUAAUAAAUAAUAGUAACAAUAGUAGUAAUAAUAACUCCUUUUUACUUUUCAUUAUUACUGUACUAGCUUUGCUGUUUGGAGAGAGACCAUAGUUCAGUGGUAGAGCAUAAGAGACCAUACAGACUUGCUCUCUUAUAAAGAUCUGCAUCAUGAGGUCAUUACUCCUCUUCCAUCAUCCAUAGGAGGUCGUUCAUCCACUGCCACAGUGUCCUUCCUUCUUGCAGACCAAGAUGACCAGGUGACAGCAAACACGGCAAAUUUUUUGGCUGGGGCAAUUAGAAUUAGAUCUGCCAUCUGACUAACUUGUGGAAUGCCUAGUAAAGAAAGCCAACUCGUUCAUAUGUUUUAUUUGCGGUCAAGGACAGUUAUUAACUCUUUUAUUUGUAUAGUUGUAAACUUUCAGAAUGCAUUUUGUAUAGCCAACCAUCCAGCUAUAUCUGCAUUUUAUUGUAUUUCAUUCCUUUGCUAUGGCUUGUUGCUGACGCAAAUAAAGAUUUUAUCAAUCAUCUA